GGGAGCGUGGCCAAGUGGAAAGGCACCGGGCUUUCAACCCGGAGAACCGGGGUUCGAUCCCCCGCGCUCCUA
rnacentral:tRNA from 1 species